UACAGAGGUCUCGAGCGUUAGGCGGAAUCACUGGGCUUAAAGCGUGUGUAGGCGGAUCGUUAAGUGCCUUGUGAAAUCCCACGGCUUAACCGUGGAACUGCUUGGCAUACUGGCGAUCUUGAGCAACCUAGGGGCGAGCGGAACAAAUGGUGGAGCGGUGAAAUGCGUAGAUAUCAUUUGGAACGCCAAUGGUGAAAACAGCUCGCUGGGGGUUUGCUGACGCUGAGACGACGAAAGCCAGGGGAGCAAACAGG
rnacentral:rRNA from 1 species